rnacentral:rRNA from 1 species
UGCCUAAUACAUGCAAGUCGAACGCGUUGGCCCAAUUGAUUGAUGGUGCUUGCACCUGAUUGAUUUUGGUCGCCAACGAGUGGCGGACGGGUGAGUAACACGUAGGUAACCUGCCCAGAAGCGGGGGACAACAUUUGGAAACAGAUGCUAAUACCGCAUAACAACGUUGUUCGCAUGAACAACGCUUAAAAGAUGGCUUCUCGCUAUCACUUCUGGAUGGACCUGCGGUGCAUUAGCUUGUUGGUGGGGUAACGGCCUACCAAGGCGAUGAUGCAUAGCCGAGUUGAGAGACUGAUCGGCCACAAUGGGACUGAGACACGGCCCAUACUCCUACGGGAGGCAGCAGUAGGGAAUCUUCCACAAUGGGCGCAAGCCUGAUGGAGCAACACCGCGUGAGUGAAGAAGGGUUUCGGCUCGUAAAGCUCUGUUGUUAAAGAAGAACACGUAUGAGAGUAACUGUUCAUACGUUGACGGUAUUUAACCAGAAAGUCACGGCUAACUACGUGCCAGCAGCCGCGGUAAUACGUAGGUGGCAAGCGUUAUCCGGAUUUAUUGGGCGUAAAGAGAGUGCAGGCGGUUUUCUAAGUCUGAUGUGAAAGCCUUCGGCUUAACCGGAGAAGUGCAUCGGAAACUGGAUAACUUGAGUGCAGAAGAGGGUAGUGGAACUCCAUGUGUAGCGGUGGAAUGCGUAGAUAUAUGGAAGAACACCAGUGGCGAAGGCGGCUACCUGGUCUGCAACUGACGCUGAGACUCGAAAGCAUGGGUAGCGAACAGGAUUAGAUAC